GGACUACCGGGGUAUCUAAUCCUGUUUGCUCCCCUUGCUUUCGCAGCUCAGCGUCAAUAAUCGGCCAGUGAGGCGCCUUCGCCACUGGUGUUCCUCUCGAUAUCUACAGAUUUCACCCUUACACCGAGAAUUCCCCUCACCUCUCCGAUAUUCAAGUCAUACAGUUUCCAAUGCAGUUCCAGGGUUGAGCCCUGGGAUUUCACACCAGACUUGUAUAACAGCCUACCUGCCCUUUACACCCAAUGAAUCCGAACAACGCUUGCCACCUCUGUCUUACCGCGGCUGCUGGCAC
rnacentral:rRNA from 1 species